rnacentral:rRNA from 1 species
GGACUGUGCCGGAGUUAACGCAAUAAGUAUCCCGCCUGGGGAGUACGGCCGCAAGGCUGAAACUCAAAGGAAUUGACGGGGGCCCGCACAAGCGGUGGAGUAUGUGGUUUAAUUCGACGCAACGCGAAGAACCUUACCAAGCCUUGACAUUCAGGUGGUGCACGGCUGUCGUCAGCUCGUGUCGUGAGAUGUUGGGUUAAGUCCCGCAACGAGCGCAACCCUUGUCCUUUGUUGCAACUCAAAGGAGACUGCCAGUGACAAACUGGAGGAAGGCAGGGAUGACGUCAAGUCAUCAUGGCCCUUACGGUCAGGGCUACACACGUGCUACAAUGGGGCGUACAGAGGGAAACGAUACCGCGAGGUGGAGUGGAACCCAAAAAGCGUCCCUAAGUUCGGAUUGGAGUCUGCAACUCGACUCCAUGAAGUCGGAAUCGCUAGUAAUCGCAAAUCAGAUGUUGCGGUGAAUACGUUCCCGGGCCUUGUACACACCGCCCGUCACACCAUGGGAGUGGAUUGCACCAGAAGUAGCUUACCACGGUGUGGUUUAUGACUGGGGUGAGUGUAACAAGGAACCGAGGG